AUUCAGUAUUAUGAUCUUGCUGAUGUUGGAAUUAAAGCGAGAAAUGGUUUUGAUGCGCUUCAUAUUGCCGCUGAACAAGGGGAGUUAGGUGUCUGGCCCUAUCUCUCAAUAGAAAGAACUGUAUGAUCAGGCAGUGUCUCCUAUUGUGUAUGAAGUGCUUGAAGGCUAUAACUGUACAAUUUUUGCAUAUGGACAGACAGGAACAACGAAGACAUACACAAUGGAAGGAGGUGCAAUAAAGAAGCUAGAACAUCUGUAGUGGAUUCUGAAAGAGUCACUUUUCAAAAAGAGUCUUUGAAGUUUCUAAAUGCAGCUUCCCUAACUGGAAAUGAGAACGCAUAAGUGAUGUUCAGUCUUGGACUCGAAAAUGCAAUUCAAAGGAAUCUAGAUGCGGCUUAUCAGAAUAUAAUGAAGUACUCAGACAUGACAGUUGGAAGCUCUGCAAGAGGUUGGAAGCUGUUAACUCUCAUAGUAUCUGCACAAAAGAGGUUUAAGGAUGCCGAAAAUAUAGUUGAUUUUGCUUUAGACGAUGCCACGAGUGUAGUUCAGUUAGAGCUACUAAGACUCAAAGCUGUAGUUCAAAUUUCUCAGAAACAACCAAAGCAAGUUAUUAAGACCUACAAAAUUUGUUAGCAGUAAUAGAAGCCAGGAAACAGAUUUCACUUC